UCUCCCUAGAGGUCCAGUAAGGAUCAUCUCUUAUUGAUCCAGUGUUACUACAGGAGGAAACCUAAACUAAACUAACUUUAUUUAUACUGGAUAACUCUAUCAGUUCUAAACUGUUCUUCCUAGAGGUCCAGUUAGAAUCAUCUCUUAUUGAUCCAGUGUUACUAGAGGCGGUCACAGAAGUACUCUAAAACAUUUGCGGUGUUUUGGUAGGAGUGAAUGCGGAAGCACUCAAUUUUUUAAUAGCUAAGUACAGUACUCAACUACAUCAAUCCAAUAUUCCCACGUUUGAUCUUAAAGUCUUCCUAGUCCAGAAAGAUUAUAGGAAGCUAUCAUAAAUUCUUUCAGUCCAUUAAAAUUCUUGUGGUAUCGUAGGCGUACCAUAUCUUGUGAAUUCCGCAUCAUUUCACAUCAAAUUCCAAAUCUUCGCGGCGCUGAUAAAUGAACUCCGAAGGACACCUUAAAUUGGCAUAAUUGAUCGUUCUCGUAAAUGAGAUAGAAAUCAACCCACUGCGUUCACAUGGGCAUUAACGCCUUAAUUCACCACAUAUAAGGCGU